rnacentral:rRNA from 1 species
GAUGAACGCUAGCGGCAGGCUUAAUACAUGCAAGUCGAGGGGCAGCAUGGGUAGCAAUACCUGAUGGCGACCGGCAAACGGGUGCGGAACACGUACGCAACUUUCCCAGAACUGGUGAAUAGCCCUCCGAAAGGAGGAUUAAUACACCGUAAGAUAGAGAUGUGGCAUCACAUUUUUAUUAUAGCUCCGGCGGUUUUGGAUGGGCGUGCGCCUGAUUAGGUAGUUGGCGGGGUAACGGCCCACCAAGCCUACGAUCAGUAACUGGUGUGAGAGGACGACCAGUAACACGGGCACGGAGACACGGGCCCGACUCCUACGGGAGGCAACAGUAAGGAAUAUUGGUCAAUGGACGCAAGUCUGAACCAGCCAUGCCGCGUGAAGGAUGAAGGCCCUCUGGGUUGUAAACUUCUUUUAUCUGGGACGAAAAAGGGGCAUUCUUGCUCAACUGACGGUACCAGAGGAAUAAGCACCGGCUAACUCCGUGCCAGCCGCCGCCGUAACAC